GGAUAAAAGUGUACUAAAUACUAUUUCUAACUAGAUGUUUUAUUUUCCGAUUAAAUGAUGUCACUUAAACGGUGUGAUUUAGGAUUCGUAGCAUGCCUCCUGUUCCCAUCAGAGCUCUUCACCCUACUUGAAGCAGCAUUUCCAUUUUUAUGUAAGAGCCUGAGUCAGCUGUUCUGCUCCACUGCAAGUGUGCUUUUUAUUGCCCUUUACUACCCCGUACUCUUGCCUCUGAGGAAAAAGAUAUUGAAUAUUUAAUACCGAGAGUGUUGGAGAUAUUACUCAGUAAAAAAACGACUUACUUUGAAAACAUUUUGCUUCCUAAAUGGUACUCUAAAGUGAAAAUGGAUAAAAAUGAAAAAGAGAAAAGGGGCUGAGUAAGAUGUAUUGAUGCUGCUGCUAUAGGGUGUCCAUAAAACAUAAGAGUUGACUAUUGAGUAGGCAAAUUGGAGUAAAUCAUGUUUGCUAAUAGUAUACUCGCUAUCUGGGUGUCUAGAAUAAACAAAAUGACGAUUAGAUGUUACUGUAGCACUGCGCAUGCGCGUUACACAGAUCCAGGAAAAACAAAACAAAGCCCCCCGUUUCCUCGAUUGCAGAAGACCCAUCAUAGAUUUCUUUUGCACACGUAGCGCUUCCUCCGGAGAUGGCAUUCGCACUUUGGAGGACAUAUCUCCCAUUCUACUUUGGAUAAAAUGCCGCCAAACCAACCGCACGGAAGUCCGCACGACCAUGAGCACAAACACACCGCACGCGAUGCACUUGUGUAACGAUUGCACAAGCGCGUGCUCGUUACUUAACUGUUAUAAAAGUAAAUAAGCAUGCUCUUAUCAAAUGUGUAAAUUUCCCUUUUAACCCAGUGCUAAAACUACUCAGAGUCACUGCUGUGUUUGAGGACAUUGCUUGGUAAUUAAAAACAGCUUAUGAUCUUAGCUAUGUUCUUUUUAAUAAAAAGUGGUUGGCUAGAGCUA